rnacentral:rRNA from 1 species
UACGGAGGGUGCAAGCAUUAAUCGGAUUUAUUGGGCGUAAAGGGCGCGUAGGCGGGUUAGUAAGUCGAGUGUGAAACUCCAAAGCUCAACUUUGGAACUGCACUUGAAACUGCUAGUCUGGAGGGUUGGCGGAGAAAAUGGAAUUCCACAUGUAGCGGUGAAAUGCGUAGAUAUGUGGAAGAACACCGGUGGCGAAAGCGGUUUUCUAGCUUAUACCUGACGCUGAGGCGCGAGAGCAAGGGGAGCAAACAGG